rnacentral:rRNA from 1 species
GACGAACGCUGGCGGCGUGCUUAACACAUGCAAGUCGAACGGUGAAGGGACCAGCUUGCUGGUUCUGGAUGAGUGGCGAACGGGUGAGUAACACGUGAGUAACCUGCCCCCUUCUUCUGGAUAACCGCAUGAAAGUGUGGCUAAUACGGGAUAUUCUGGGUCUGUCGCAUGGCGGGCCCGGGAAAGAUAUUGCUUCGGUGGGGGAUGGGCUCGCGGCCUAUCAGCUUGUUGGUGGGGUGAUGGCCUACCAAGGCGGUGACGGGUAGCCGGCCUGAGAGGGUGGACGGUCACACUGGGACUGAGACACGGCCCAGACUCCUACGGGAGGCAGCAGUGGGGAAUAUUGCACAAUGGGCGCAAGCCUGAUGCAGCGACGCCGCGUGAGGGAUGGAGGCCUUCGGGUUGUAAACCUCUUUCGCCAGUGAGGCAGGCCUGCUCCUUGUGGGUGGGUUGACGGUAGCUGGAUAAGAAGCGCCGGCUAACUACGUG